rnacentral:lncRNA from 1 species
GGGACGCCCGCGAGUACCUGGGUAUCCCAGGUUCAGGGUCACGGGCGUCCGCUAGGCUGGACCGGCGGCAGCAGCAGACACGCUGGCCCCAGGACUCCCGGCCGCGCGGACACCUGGCCCGCCGGCGCGGCCCCUCCGCGCCCCGCCCGGGUCCUAUUCGGGCUCCCCGCGGGCCGGGCACGGGUGCGGGGCGCGCACGCAGCUUUGACCGAGGCAGCCCGGCCGGGGGAGGCUGAGAAAGUUCCUCCUCCUCGACACCGGCGCCCCCGGCCCCGCUGGCCCCGCAGCCUCCCGGCCCGGCGCAAGAUCGCCGCGCGGAGCCGGCGGCGCGCCGAGCCCCGGGACUGUCCCCGGCGCGGCGGGCAGCGCCUGCUGCGCCCCUCCCGCCCCGGGCGCUCGGGAUCGGCCGCGGGGCGCGCAGCCCGUACUCACCGCCCCUCGCUCGGGAUCCCCAGGUGGCGGCCGCGGAGUGCGGCGCGGCCCGAGCCGAAGCCGGGUGUCGGUGGGGCGGGGGAGUCGGAGGAGGAAGAGCGGCGGCGGCGGCGGCGGCGGCGAGGAGGGGCAGCGGAGGAAAGAGGCGGCGACGCCUGCACACGCCGCGCAACCCGAGCAGCCCGGCAGCCCCACUGCGCUAGCGGGCCCGCCCCAGCGGCGGGGGCUUUAUCGCGGCGCCCGCGGCCCCCGCCCCUUCCUGCCGCCCCCGCCCCCGCCCCGCCCCGCCCCGCCUUCCCGCCGCCUCCUUUGUGUGCCAGCGGCCGCCGCGUCCCCGCGCCCGCACUCCGGGGCGCCCCCGCUCCCGCCGCCGUCCCGCCGAGGCCGCCCCCCGCGGGUCCCCGUCCCGGGGCUGCGCCCAGAAGAGCCGGGAGACGCGCCGACCCCGAGUUGCGGCACCAGCCCGGCCCGAGCUGCACGUGGGUCGCCGGGCUCGGAGGCGGGGGGAGGGCAGGGGGGGGAGGUGUGGGAGGGGGAGGGACCCAAGGGCUCGCGGCGCGUCCCUGGGACGCAGGGCUGGUCGUCUGGGCUGCCCCCCUCCCCGGGAGAAACAGGGGGACGCCCCGGGACAGUGCCUACCGGUCCGGGUGA